AUUGAACGCUGGCGGCAUGCCUUACACAUGCAAGUCGAACGGCAGCACGGGAGCAAUCCUGGUGGCGAGUGGCGAACGGGUGAGUAAUAUAUCGGAACGUGCCCAGUCGUGGGGGAUAACGCAGCGAAAGCUGUGCUAAUACCGCAUACGAGCUAAGGAUGAAAGCGGGGGAUCGCAAGACCUUGCGCUAUAGGAGCGGCCGAUGUCGGAUUAGCUAGUUGGUGGGGUAAAGGCCUACCAAGGCUACGAUCCGUAGCUGGUCUGAGAGGACGACCAGCCACACUGGGACUGAGACACGGCCCAGACUCCUACGGGAGGCAGCAGUGGGGAAUUUUGGACAAUGGGGGCAACCCUGAUCCAGCCAUGCCGCGUGCGGGAAGAAGGCCUUCGGGUUGUAAACCGCUUUUGUCAGGGAAGAAACGGCUUGGGCUAAUACCUCGAGCUAAUGACGGUACCUGAAGAAUAAGCACCGGCUAACUACGUGCCAGCAGCCGCGGUAAGAC
rnacentral:rRNA from 1 species